UGGUAAUAAAAUAUUGCCCUCGAUAGAUACGGUAAUCGUUGGCGCUCUCGUCGCAUCGUCCGUUGCUUCGUCCCUCCUCUUCGAUUACACUCUUUCGAUUGGAUCGAAUGGCCUCGGCGCUGGCUUCAGUCGCUCUCUCCGCACCCUUCUUCAGGGCGGUGCCCCUUCCAGAAAACUCCAUGUUCCAGCGCAUUGGAGCUGAGAAGAAACACGGCAAUCCCCUCUUAAAGGGGAAGGUACAAUGUUUCCUUUCCUUUGUUCCCAGUUGGAUCUUAAUUGUUGAUGAGACUUGAUUCUAUGAGUUCGAGCUACAUCUAGCUGUUGUUCUGUACCCAUGUUUAGUGAUUUAGGAGAAGCGAUCAAAAGUUCAUAUAAGAAAAUACCUGCUAAGGAUCUUGUAAUUUUUUAGACGGUAGAAGUGGAAAUUAACAUGCUUGGACUGCGAUCUCCCUAAUGAUGUUCGGGUCAACCACAUGGAGCCUAUCCUGAUCGUUUCUACAGUGAUUUCCUUAAUCAGCAUAAUGAUAUCAUGUCUCUUGUCAUUGUUUCCAACCUGAGACUUUCGACUGGUCUUACCUCAUAUUCAAUUUGAAUUGACUCAAUGACCCUCUGUAAUGUGGUUCAGCCUUUGUUAGAUUUGUAGAAACAACCUUAAUGGGUUAGGCUACCGUCUAGGACAUAUGUGUUGAAGAUGUUAACAUUCAUGUUAUCUCACUCUUUAUUUAGAAACAUUAGUUAACCUUAAAGAUUUUUUUAUUGUUUAAAGACCAAGUUAUACUUAUGUCCUAUCUGACUAGUUUCUAUAUAUGGCAAUUUGAUUAUGCAUAUCAGAUAUUGUUCUCUGCUUGUCAACAUAUCCAACAUCAGUAAGCAAAGAAACAUACAUAUGAAGUCCUUGUGUCUCACCAUCAGCAUCUGCUGGACCCAUAUAUGCUUAGUUCCAUUCGUUUUUGCUUAUGUUCAUGCCUAGUAUCGUUGUCAUCCCCAUUAGAGUAUGUAAGUGAAGUACCUGAAUUUUUACAUGAGUUGAUCAAAUAUGCAAUCACAUAGAAGCUUUUCAGAUUACUGAAAGCAUGCAGCAGAUGCAAGGGGAGCUAAGAGACAUAAAUUAUUGGUAAAAAUAUAUGAACAUAAAUAGGUCAUGAGGACUAGUGAAUUUUAGUUGUGAAAAUAUAUGAACAUAAAAAUAUCUCAAGAGGACUAGUGAAUUUUAGUUGCACUGGUGGAUGCAUAAAACUUACAUGCUUAACUAUCAUUUUAGGUGUUAGAGUUGACAUUAUGCAUCUUAUUUACUGUACAAUUGUCUGACUGCUGUCUGUGUGUGUAGAUUUGUAAAACCAUAAAUCAAAUCAUGUGACCAGGCUUGUAGAUAAGGGAUUGUUAUCGACACUAUCAAUAGAUGUGUUUUCCUUUUAACACCACAUGGGCUAUAAUUACAUUAUUGGUCAUUUCUCUUAAUUUUGUUAUCCAUUUCAACUUGUUUCAGCAAUGAAUGCUCAACCUUUGUAUGGAAAAAACAGAUCAUGUUAGUUCGUACUGUAGGAUUAUCUACUUUGAAAGGUGGCCAUCAAACUGAUACAUUUUUCUUUUCUUGACACCGGUAUGUUGAAAGCAGAUAACCUUAGAUAUUAGCAUAUUCAGUAAACUGGACUAGAUAAACCAAGCAUGUAGCUGUUUAAUAUCUUCUGAUGUUGUUUAUCUGAACCGGAGGAUUGCAUUGACAAACAAAGUUCAGAUAUAUAAUUAAGUCUUGGCAGCAAUUGAAGUCCACAUAUGACAAAAUAAAAUAAACUUAAGCAUACAAGCAGAUAAAUGCUUCAUUCUAUUUGUAUGUCUUUGUCUUUUCAUCACCAAAAGAUGUCCAAUAAGGUCAAAUUGUUUGCUAUUUUAUGCUUUACUUAUAGUAUUUUUAUAAUGAUCCAUUCUGAUGGGGUAUAUGAUCCAAUAAUUUUAUUGAGCUUGAAUCAAUAGCCUAAGAUGCUUAAAUCCAAAUUUAUGGUAAUGGAUUUACAUUCAAUUCUUCUUCCCCUUCUGAUGUGAGAAUAGAUCAGGAUAUUAUAAUCUCCCUCACUCAAGAUGUACGUGAGACCUAACAUAGCCAUAUUGUGAUGUGCCCUCCAGCCCUAUUUAUUAAUUGUCCUUUCCUAUUUGAGUCCCACCAUAUCCAACACUAGAUUGGUUUUGAUACCAUUAUAUGAUAAUUCAUACAUUAAUUUAUUAAGUUUAAAUCAUUAAUUCAAAAUACUUAAGUUCGUGUUUAUGGUAAUAGAACCAUCUAGCCCUUAUAAGUCCAUUUAAGUCUUCUCCUAGUUCAGAUGUGGGAUUAAAUUGAGAUAUUAUAAUCUCUCUCACCUAAG